rnacentral:tRNA from 1 species
GGGGGUGCGUUGCCUCAUAGCUUGGGAGAGCGCUUGAAUGGCAUUCAAGAGGUCAGCGGUUCGAUCCCGCUUAUCUCCACCA